rnacentral:rRNA from 1 species
GACGAACGCUGGCGGCGUGCUUAACACAUGCAAGUCGAACGCUGAAGCUUGGUGCUUGCACUGGGUGGAUGAGUGGCGAACGGGUGAGUAAUACGUGAGUAACCUGCCCUUGACUCUGGGAUAAGCCUGGGAAACUGGGUCUAAUACUGGAUAUGACAUGCCACUGCAUGGUGGUGUGUGGAAAGGGUUUUACUGGUUUUGGAUGGGCUCACGGCCUAUCAGCUUGUUGGUGGGGUAAUGGCCUACCAAGGCGACGACGGGUAGCCGGCCUGAGAGGGUGACCGGCCCACCUGGGGACUGGGCCAGGCCCCAGCCCCCUAGGGGGGGAGGCGGUGGGAAAUUUGGCAAAUGGGCGGAAGCCUGAUGCAGCGACGCCGCGUGAGGGAUGACGGCCUUCGGGUUGUAAACCUCUUUCAGCACGGAAGAAGCGAGAGUGACGGUACGUGCAGAAGAAGCGCCGGCUAACUACGUG